rnacentral:rRNA from 1 species
UACGGGGGGGGCAAGCGUUGUUCGGAAUUACUGGGCGUAAAGGGCUCGUAGGUGGCCAACUAAGUCAGACGUGAAAUCCCUCAGCUUAACUGGGGAACUGCGUCUGAUACUGGAUGGCUUGGAUUCGGGAGAGGAAUGCGGAAUUCCAGGUGUAGCGGUGAAAUGCGUAGAUAUCUGGAGGAACACCGGUGGCGAAGGCGGCAUCCUGGACCGGCAUUGACGCUGAGGCGCGAAAGCCAGGGGAGCAAACGGG